rnacentral:ribozyme from 1 species
AGACAAUAGAAAAAGAUUCAAGAGAAAAACAAAAUCCAAAUCAAAUGUUGUCGGUUUCCUGGUUUCUUGUCUUAUCAUUCUGUCAUUAAUUUUCCUUGGUCUGUCGUUGCAAUUGCUGUC